UUAACUAGAAACAUACCCAGUCAAAUUCUGAAACAUAUUCAAACGAUCACUUAUCUCGAUAUGUAUAGUGUAUACAUGUAAAUGAACUUACCAAAAGCAGGUAAUCAAGCACUCGUAAUAUUCAUUUCAUUCCCAGGUGUCGCUUUUCAUGCGCAUUGCAUGAUGGGGAGUACUACGAUUUUCCGCGAACUUGUGCAUAAUGAUUUACUAAAAAUUGGCAAAAGUAGUCAUUAUGUCGUUUAAGACGUAAUUUUGUGCAUUCAUUCGUUGUGUAAAGUAAUUAAUUAAGUUUUAAAAUGGUAACUCACCCCCCGGAUUUGAUGAAUACAAGGAACAAACCUGUUCAUCUGAUCUCAAAGAGCAUGGUUGUACAGCUGUUUUAAAGUGAAAGUAGGAAAUACAUGCAUGACAUGGGAGGAGACGAAUUCCUCGGAGCACCCCAGGCCAUCCAACUGUCCAGACGUGGUGAUCGCCACUGGAAGUAGCAGCUUCCAACCGGCGCUCCGUCACCGGCGAAAAGUCCCGCAGCUGCCGUCAAUCCAGGCGUCUCGCCGCACAGCCGGAGGAUACCAGAACGAAUGCUCGACAAACAACAAUGUUUUUAUUCCUUAAAUAUUUGCUGAACUUGUAAUUUACUUUGGAUUCUUUCCAAAUAUUCGUCAUUCUUUGACGAAUUGUCUCGAUUUGAGGGGCCCACCAUUUGCAAAUUAAAAAUAGAUAUACAUGUACCUGUUUACCCAAAAGACCCAAUUGUUACCCAAUUUUUUUUGGUACCCAUUUUUUUUCUACUCAAAAGACGUCCCGGAAAUUAGAUUUUUUUAAAACUUUUAACUCAUUAACUCACCUAACUCAUCAGGUGUGUGAUAACGUAGAAAUAUCCAUCUUUUCUUAUUUGCUUUUAUCUGGAAAAAAAUCUAUCCAUAAUCUUUUACGGUAUUCUGUAUAGACUAUCUCCUCAUCCCAAUCCGUAUGGAUCACAUGCUUGCUUACUUAAUACGUAUAGAUGAUAUUAUCAACUACAAAAUUUGUAAAUAAAUCAUCAAUAAAUUUGGCAUUGAUUCAAA